UGCCUUAAGGAAGAGUCCCAUCGAGGCUAACCCUACCGUAUCUCUGUGGGACCUUGGCAAGAGGCACCCCACGCAUCCACCUUCACUCAGUCCAUAGGAACCGAAGUUCUGGACCUAUCGGCCUACCAACUCUCCGAAUUCGGCCAUCGUGAAGUUUCCACGUUGCAACAAUGGGAUCCGAACCCAGAGAGUCGCUACAACGCUUCCGUCAGUACCGCGGACUCCAUACCGGAAUACUGACUCGGUUCCCCGGGCAGGAUCCGAACCUGCAUCUAUACUUGUCAGCCUCAACCCGGCCGAAUCCGCGAUUCGAACCUGGGUCUGCCAUGUGACAGCGGCAUGCUCUACCAAUUGAGCUACCGGGGAGCAACAAGGUGGCGCGCACGUGUCAAGAAGUCCACAAUGGCGACGCCUGGGCUCACAUCGACAAGCACUACGACGGCAACUUCUGGAUGGCGGGGCUGGCGUCGCCUGCUCGCGUGGGACACAUCAUCUGCAGGCAAGAGUACCAGGGGGGUGUUGCAUGCGGGUGGCAAGGGUGGCGCGGGCAUGGAGGAGAGGCAUGGAUGUGCGGUGGGGCCGAGAUUGACUGAUACCUUGCUGUGCAGGUACGUCAACCAGAUCAUCUACGAGUGCGAGGCGGAGCAUUAUCCAUUCGGCAUCGAGGAGGCGCUGGAGGAGAUGUGUACGGCGGUGUGGGAGGCGGCGGUGCAGAUUGCGCCGUACCUGACCAAGUACAGGUGAGGGUGCCGUGUAGCCGCGGGGCUGCGUGCAAGGGCAGUACGUGCAGGAUGGUUGUGUGGGGGGUCGCGUACCUAGCACUGACGUGGUGCUGCACGCUGUCGGUCUGCGCGCAGGGACGAGUUCUUGUCUGCCUGGGGGCGCCAGGCGAUGUACGGCGACACGGCAACUAACCUCGUGAGCAUGACCAAGAACUGCGCGGUGUCGUUGCACUUCGACACGACGGACGGUGAGGCUGGUGCGCAGGGGUGCGUAUCAGAGACGCGGUGCCUGUGUAUUUGUGUGUGUGGGGGGGGGGGCGGGGGAGGGGCGGGCGGUGGAUGGGUGAGUGGGUGUGCGUGCGAGCUUGCUCGUGUAGAUCUCGGAGGGCGGGCGUACUGUGAGGCAAGGUGGUGGUGCUGGUCUGCUAUCUGCGUGCUGCUAACGAGUGUGAAUUUCUUCGCGUGGGAAUUGACACGCAGGGCCGUACAGCAUCAUGCUGUGGCGCCACAACGGUGCCGGCAGCCUGGACGGCGGGCAUUUCUUGAUGCCUGGCGCCUCCAUCAAGGUAAAUGGCCAGGUGGUGCAUCUCUGCGGGCGGGUGUGGUUUUGUGUGUGUCGGCCAGGCGCGCGUAUAGUGAGCUCGCGAUGCGGACAUGCAAGUGAUACGGGUGCUGUUGUUUGCAGGUGCUGCCGACCGACAUGACGAUCGUGGUGCUGGCUGCUGGCAUGGUCACGCAUGGGACGGCGCCCGUGCUGGAGUCCACUGGCGAAGCGCGGCGGUACGGCUACUCGCAUUUCCUGCGUGUGCCGGCCAUGGAGCGUGUGGCGCGGCUGAUCAAGGCAUCUGGCGGAAAGAAGAAGAUGGAGGAGCUGCAGGUGCAGGGCAUGAAGCGCGUGUUGGCUGCACGUACAGCGGCGGAUCGGAAGGCGCGGCGGGAUGAAAUCCAGAAGCAGCGGGACGAGCUCCUGAAGAGCGCGCUGGACGGCGAGGCGCUGCCAGAGGGCGAGCAUUUAGCGUUUGCUGUGCGAGGGUUGAAGUGGCACCGGGACAUUGUGAAGUGCCUGGUAUGGCAGGACUUCAAGGGCAAGUCCUGAGACCUCUAGCAGGAGGAGCGGGUGGGUAGUAGUGGUUCGUGUAGAGGCGUGUUGGGCUGUGUAGGUGAGAGCUCAUGGGAGUACACAACGCAGAUAGAGCAAGAACAGCGGGAGUUUCUUAGGCAGCGCCAACAGGUGCGAACGCUGCUGGGGAGUUGGUGUGUUGCAGUGGGAGUUGGGCCAUGCACGUGAGACAGCGAGUGGCUGUACAGGUGUUCGCAUUUGCAGGUUAAAAGAACCGUGCCAUUCGUGUCAAGCAAGUGCAUGGAGUGGGUGGGUGAUGAACUGGAUUGUGGGGUAGAGCUGUGGGCGGGGGCAUGCGUUGGGGAAUCGGUUUUUCUGUGAGGGCGUGUGGGUGCGCUAAGGGCAAGGUAACAAGACAGCGUGGCUGUAGUCAGUUAGCAGUGUAGGGUUGCGGUUGGGGCCGGGCUGCAGCGGAAGUAGAAGUAGGGAUAGCUGCUUAUUGUGGCAAAGAUGCGCGGGAUGUCGUGCUGGCGAAAGCUUGCAAAGGUAGUGGGGUGCUGGAUGAGGCGCAUGAGGCGCAGUGGUGCAUUGGCUGCGGUGCUGGAAUGGACAGGAGGCAGCGAGGGCAAUGACAUGAGAUGAGCGGUUGUAUACAAUGAAGGUGUGCAGAAGUCGCAACGUUGGCAAUGUGCAACAUCAAUGUGUUUGUCGUGGUAUCAUAAGCAGAACUGCGCCAGACUGUGAGCACUGAGACUAGGAAAUGUCAAGCAGCCGCACAGAAGAUACAUCUACGCAACAGCCACAGCUUCUCAAUAGCGCAUUUGCGCGCACUACCAAGCAGUUCAGAGAUGCCUCCGUGCACGCAUGUUGCGCAUCAAAGCCAGGAAUGCAGGUUGGUUCUAAGCAGGGGUGGAGGCGUAAUCAGUCGUGGAGGAGUAAGCAGCAUUACGGCAGCUGCGCCUGCACGGUGGCGCCCGCGAUAGUCCAACGGCUGAUCCGGGCAUGCUGCGGCUCAUAGGGAGCGGGCUGUGCUGCCCAAGCGAGUACGGCGUCCAGCUGCGCUCCGUAGACGACGCGCGCCACAUCAGGCGGCAUGGUCACCUUCAAGGUGCGGGGAGAUGCGAGAGGCACGCAUGGUCAGGUGGAGCGCAAGUGGAGUGGCGGGUGGUGGAUGGCAUGAGCGGAGUCCAGGGAACGCACCAGGGUGCCAUCGUAUGCAGCCAGCGCGGCCGACAGCAAGUAGCCGAUGAGGUUGUUGUUGCUGCAGGCAGACAGGUUUGGAUAAAGCGCAGUGUGGUGAGCAAAGUGGUUGGGUGAUGCGGGGCCGAGGUUGGCAGGUACGUAGCCCAACCCAUAUAGGAGAACGGCUUACGCACUUACUCAAGCACGACUGGCAUGAAGGCGCCAUACACAGGCGCGUGGCUGGUGAAGGCGGCCUGGUCGAUGUUGGAGUUGAGCGUGAGCAUGUUUUGGUCAUGCACCAGAAGCUCGACUAGGAUGUGGAUCAGGAGGGGAGUGUCGGGCGUGACGCCCAUGAUGCCGGUCUCCAUUGUCGCGGUUAUCUCCUCGCCGCGGUUUUGCGCGGCCAUCAGGAACAGAGCACGGCGGCCAGCAGUGGGCUCGCGCAGCUUGUUCAGGAUGGCGCGACGCGAGGUGGGUGUGCGGAGCGAGAGGACGAUCUGAGGCACGGACAAGUGGGGAAGGGCGAGUGGAGAAGCGGGGUGGCAGUGGUAUGUACGGACACCGUGCAAAGCGAGGGAGGCUGGGGAGUGUAGAUACAAUGGUAUGGAGGUGGAGUACGACUAACAGGUUGUUGCAGAGCAGAGCUGCGUAGGCUCACCUGGACCGUGACAGAGGGGCGGCGUACCAGGGCGUUGAGCAGGCCUGCGUAGAAGAUUGGGACGCCUUCGAGCUGUAAGUCACCAUCGUCAUCUCCUGCUGGCGGCUGCAGCAUAGCGCCAGCGAUGGCGGCGGGCGCAGCGUCAGCGGCAGCGGCGGCACCAGCAGUGGCACCGGCGGCACCAGCGUCCUCAGCAAUCGCAGGCAGCGCAGGGUCAGCGGCGGCAGGAGGAAGAUGUGGAGGGAUGACGAUGAGGUUCUCGUUGAACACGGCAUGGAGGGGUGUCAGGAAGUUGAUGGGCACACGAAGCGAGGGCACCUGCAGAGGCGUAUGUGGAAGGCGCGGAAAUGGAUACUUGUCAAUACACGCUGAGGACCCUAAGUGCCGUAUGCAGGCGGAGUGCGUGACACAAGCAGUGGCAGGUGCAAGGUAGGUGCUGUGGUACUUGGUGCCCACCAAUAGCCUGCGGGCAGCGCUUACCAUGUUGGGAGGUGCAGUGAGUACCACCACCGAACGAGGUGAGGUCGCCAGAUUUGCGCCGACUCCCGGGGUUGAACUGUUGGUUGACUCCACCAUGGAGGUUUGUAAUCGUGAUGUGGUGAGGCACGUGGUAGCGGUGCGAGUUGUCUGCUGUGGGCAAGGCAGGUAACCGGCAGUGAGGUGGCUAAGUUGGUAUGGGAUAAUGAAUCGGGCAGGAGGGAGGGCUGGAUAAGAGGUACGUGCAUGGUAGGCGUGCCAGGUCUGCAGGACGAUAGGCAUUAAAGGCCCUGGAGGUGCAGCUGCGGGCCCGAGCACUUACCCAUCACGACGCUGAUGACGUUGAGCACAACGUUGCACCUGUCGCUCACAGCGCGGAUGGUGCCGUCAUCACCUAAGAUAUGGACUCGGUCAGACUGGACGCCCACGGCGUGAAUUGCAGGGUGCGCGGCGUUGGCGGCGCCGGCCAGCACGGUGACCACCCAUCCUGAAAGGCUGUGCUCGCCGGCAGUGCUGGGCAGGUGGGCGUGGGUGACACGGGUAGAGCGCUGAGAUGUGGACUGCAUGCGCUUCUCGAGCGCAGCUGCAAGCGACAUCCCGGUGGGCUUGCUGGGUGGCGUGCUGGACGUAGGGGCCGCAGGCGUGGCGGAGCCUGUAUGCAGGGACGAACGCAGCAGAAGUCGGAAUGGAUAUCGGCAAGAGGACGUGCUGCAGCGCGGCUGUCAGAGCUGUUGUGAAACAGUAUAUACCUCCAGCACCCGUACGGCGAGGCGCUGCCAGAGGGCGAGCAUUUAGCGUUUGCUGUGCGAGGGUUGAAGUGGCACCGGGACAUUGUGAAGUGCCUGGUAUGGCAGGACUUCAAGGGCAAGUCCUGAGACCUCUAGCAGGAGGAGCGGGUGGGUAGUAGUGGUUCGUGUAGAGGCGUGUUGGGCUGUGUAGGUGAGAGCUCAUGGGAGUACACAACGCAGAUAGAGCAAGAACAGCGGGAGUUUCUUAGGCAGCGCCAACAGGUGCGAACGCUGCUGGGGAGUUGGUGUGUUGCAGUGGGAGUUGGGCCAUGCACGUGAGACAGCGAGUGGCUGUACAGGUGUUCGCAUUUGCAGGUUAAAAGAACCGUGCCAUUCGUGUCAAGCAAGUGCAUGGAGUGGGUGGGUGAUGAACUGGAUUGUGGGGUAGAGCUGUGGGCGGGGGCAUGCGUUGGGGAAUCGGUUUUUCUGUGAGGGCGUGUGGGUGCGCUAAGGGCAAGGUAACAAGACAGCGUGGCUGUAGUCAGUUAGCAGUGUAGGGUUGCGGUUGGGGCCGGGCUGCAGCGGAAGUAGAAGUAGGGAUAGCUGCUUAUUGUGGCAAAGAUGCGCGGGAUGUCGUGCUGGCGAAAGCUUGCAAAGGUAGUGGGGUGCUGGAUGAGGCGCAUGAGGCGCAGUGGUGCAUUGGCUGCGGUGCUGGAAUGGACAGGAGGCAGCGAGGGCAAUGACAUGAGAUGAGCGGUUGUAUACAAUGAAGGUGUGCANNNNNNNNNNNNNNNNNNNNNNNNNNNNNNNNNNNNNNNNNNNNNNNNNNNNNNNNNNNNNNNNNNNNNNNNNNNNNNNNNNNNNNNNNNNNNNNNNNNNCUGUCCGGUCAGCCAACUAGGCAAACACUCAGGGAAGAGCGUAGCGUAGCAAGAGGGGAAAGCGUGUGCUGUACCCCAUGCAGGACCGGCAGAGUCCGCCCUAGUCUUAAGGUUGCAACCAGACCGAUACUGAUAACUGUUAACAGGUAGCAGUCGGAUACAACCAGGAUACAGGACAAGGAUACAGGACACGGCCGGAUAUAAGGGCCUCGCAUGUAACAGGAUACAGGAAUACCAGGCACGCUAGCAGGGCAGGCAAGAGUCCAUAUUACAACAGGUUAUGAGCCCCGCGCUCGUCGCUGACGCAGAAACCUCGAGCUGCUAGCGUAGGAUACAGGGCCUGAGUUACGGAAAGGAUAAAGGAUAACGAAUAAAGGGUACAUACAGGAUAUAGGAAGUAACCAGCCGUCGAAGUCAGAAGUCGGCGGCGAUGCCCGCGAUUAUUGGGCCAUGUCAUGGCUGGCCGGAUUUCAUGGUUGGGAUGGGAUGUGAGCAGAAGAGAGAGAGUGAGCGGUUUGGGAGUUUUGGAGCUGCGCUGUGCGGCGGAGCCACGACAGCCUUGACGGAGCCACGACAGCAGGAACGCCCAGAGUGGUGCCGACGCAAAGCAGACCGGCGGACCAGCGGGAUAUACCUCCAGCACCCGUACGGCCUGGGGCCAUGCUACGACUGUGGCGGGCCUCACAACGCGCGGUUUGGCAGGUUGUAUGGCCUUCACACGGAGGAGUACUGCGUGAAACGGCGCAUGUUGGACAGCCUGAUCAAGUGCGUGCCGUGGGGACCGAACCGGCGGGUGACACCUCGGCGACCCAAGGCGGCAGCAGCAGCAACAGCAGCAGCGCCAACAACGGCAGCAUCAGUCGCGUGUCAGACGGAGGACGAGGAGCGUGAGGAGGUGGUGUGCACUUUUUGGCUGCCACUGGCUAGCGGCACAGGGGAGAGCAACACUUCGGGUGGGGCUCAGCCAGCGGCGAGCAAAGAUGAGGGGGCGAGCAACAGCUCAGUGGGGAUUGAGCCAAUCAGCGAGCCACUGCGUGUGUCUUGGCACGCGCACAAUCCGCUGUACGGUGAUGCGAUCACGGGGUGUGCGGAGAGUUCGAUGUCGGAUGGGGCACAGCGGGAGUGCGCCAGCACGGUUUUGGAGGAGCCGUGGGAGCGGUCAUCGAGUGAGGAGGCUUCAUGUGCGUGGGAGCACCCGCAAGGAUGGGAGGUGCUGGAGCUCCGAACUCCUUUUGGCAUCUUCAGUCACGGCGGGGAAGAGGAGGCGGUACGUGCACAGGCGGCUGGCGCGUGCGAGGAUUCGAGUGAGCAGGAGAAAGGAGACCCGGGGUAGGGUUUGGCGGCCUUGACGUGGGAUGGGGUUUUGACGUUGUACACGUCAAGCCCGCCACCACACGUUAGAUAGCCGUGGGAGCAAAUGCAGGAUGCAACAUGCAUACCAUGAUGCAGGACAGGAACUUUCCCGUGGACGCAUGGGAACGUUUGUGGACAGCACGGAUUAGAUGCAAGCGCUUGUGGAAUGGUGCCGCGCCAUGAUGGGCGUGCGGUAAAGCAAGGAGACAGGAGGAUUGACGUGCAAUUGACAUAAAGUGAGACGAGACAGAGGCAAGACCCAGUUCCAUGACUGCGUGAUAUGAUAUGCUGUGCGGCAACGGUGCGCUAAAUCAACUCAGGUGUCGGUGAGAUGCAAGCCGAAGACCGUGGGAGCGUGCUGGAGCUGUUUUAGCAUGUACGAAUGCGUGAUCUGAACAGAUUUGGAUAGGAUGCGUGCAAGUGCAGCGUGCGAGAGCGUACUGACUUUGACUCUCGGUUUGUGCAGUGUAUUGUGAACGUGCGAAUAAGCAGUGCAGGUUGUGUAUGCGUUUACCAGUUGCGGAUAGUGCGGAAGUACGAAGCAGCGGUAGUGGAGCUGUGAAGUUGAUUUACACGCAAUAGGGAUAGCGGUGUUUGCUAGUUGUCUGCCCGCGUGGGAGUGUUGUGAAACGGCUGUCCGGUCAGCCAACUAGGCAAACACUCAGGGAAGAGCGUAGCGUAGCAAGAGGGGAAAGCGUGUGCUGUACCCCAUGCAGGACCGGCAGAGUCCGCCCUAGUCUUAAGGUUGCAACCAGACCGAUACUGAUAACUGUUAACAGGUAGCAGUCGGAUACAACCAGGAUACAGGACAAGGAUACAGGACACGGCCGGAUAUAAGGGCCUCGCAUGUAACAGGAUACAGGAAUACCAGGCACGCUAGCAGGGCAGGCAAGAGUCCAUAUUACAACAGGUUAUGAGCCCCGCUAACGCGGCCCUGCGCGAGAGGUCUCGAGUUCGAUUCCCCAUUACUGCGCCGGAUCUGAGUGCGGCGGCAGGGGGAGAUUUAGCACUAUAGAGGGCUAAGCUGCGCGGAGGUCGCGGGUUCGAGCCUACACGAGUGAAGUGAGGUCGAUUCCGGCAAGAGUGGCGCGGAAACCAGAGAGGUACCCGGACAAAGCGAGCUAGCUAUAGAGUGCUGCUCGAGGGGGAGUGUUGAGGAGCGAUCAGCACUCAUAUACCCCGAGAACUACAGAGGAAGUAAUGCACCCCAGACGUGAUGGGGUGGGCGCUUUUCCUCUAGACGUCAACAAGAGCAACACACACACACACACACACACACACACACACACAAGGAAAGCACGCGGCUGUGUGAUGUCUUGCUCCUGGCAGCUAUAGGAACGACUCACUGCCAGGCUUGCCGCGUCCCGUCAUGGUGAUGAUGUUGGUGUACGCAGCGUAGGUGGGCUCGACGAACGCGGUGCUGUGGAGGUGGGCGUGAAGCAUGGGCAGGGACGCGCAGGGAGGCUAGGUUGGUUGGCGUGCGACAGGAGCAUAGGAGUAGCAGCAGCGAGGGCACAGUAGGAUAACCGGAGGUGCAAGACAAGCACGGAAACACAGACGUGUGGGCUUGAUGGGCGGGCGUGUUUAGGUCAGGGCAACUCGCCUGUCAUUGAUGCUGGUGGGGACGGUGGCGUUGAUGCAGUCAGGUGAAGUGCACCUGCGUGCAGGCGCGGCGACAUCGUGGACGGAAUCCAAGGGCCAGCGCUGAAAGCAUGGGGGGUAUGACAGGGGCAGCGAGCUGGCGCAGUGUGCAUACCUGUUCGUGGAAAUGAUGUAGUAGGCGGGAGUGGGUGCCAGCGCGGACCUUGCACGGAGGAAGGGGAGGGUGGAGUAUUUGGUGCUAACACGAGCUGGGGGUGCCAGCGUGGUAGCGUAUGAGAGGUUGGCAUGCUUGAUGCGGUUGCGUGUGGAUCGGGAGCUAACACGCACAACUGCACACUGGCUCACCACGUGUGGGCGGUGAAGCUGGGGUGGGUGGAUGCAGUGGCCGCCCAGCUGCGUCGGAGUGGAGUGGGUGUGGGUGCGCAGGUGAAUGCAUGAGGGGAAGCGCGGUAAGGGCGGCGACAUCUGUGACGUACGGGCUGGGCAUGUUGGUGGCCACUGGGGAACUUACACGCUGUGAACGGGGGUGGGCGUGGGCGCCGAUGUGCCCGGGGUGCUGUUGGGGUGCGGAGCGUGAUAGGUGAGAGGUGAACAGGCAGCAGCGUUGUGCUCAAGUCGUGUACAGGGGUGCUCGCGUAUUGCCGGCGAGACGACCUGAGACCAUGAAGCGGUGCGUACCUGAUAGCAGGUUGGGCGUAGUGGACCAGCGCAGCCGGCGGGCAGGACCUGCAAGCGGCAACAGAGGAAACGUAAGCACCGUGAUGCUGCAAACAGCGGCGGGUUGCGCGACAGUGGCGGUAGGCGCUCACCCGUCAGCGUGGGUGUUGCGCGUGCUCACGAGAGCGGCAAGCGCCGCUAGCAGCAGCAGGAACAGCUGCAUGUUUGCAGGCGCCGGGGGUGUGGGUGUGCGGAGCAGUACCAGAAGUGGGGGUGUUGGAGUGCAGGGCGCGUGAGAAUGGGCUGCACGAGCGCGUGCUGGGCGCGGAAAAGAUGUAUGCCUAAGCGUUGCAGCGGCGCCAGUGUGCAAGCGCGCGAAUGGGAGCGGCCGAAAGCGGCGAGACAAGGUCCAGGUCCUUGUUGCGCAUUGGACGGUGGCUUCGCCAUGCACGUGCAGGGCAGGAAGGGGCGCAGGCGAGCAGGUAUUCCACGUAGCAAGUUGUGCAAUGAAACUGUAAAUAGCCGUGGAAGCGGACAUGCGGGAUAAGAUGGGUCUCGCGUGUGUAGCUUGAAUUUGGCCAGGCUAUUAUGCGCUCAUGCAUAUUCACGUAUGCAUGUAGGGUGGACAGCACAAGGCGCUAGAACGAGCCGCACGGCACGGUGGAUCGCGGAUUCGCGUUCGACCCAUCGGGCGCGUCACCCCGCGGGAAAUGCGAGCCGCUUGUCGAUGUAGGAAAUAUAUGCGUGGACUAUGGGAGUGCUAGGGCACACGCACGGUAGCAUAACGUGAAGCUUAGCAAUGUCGCUUCGAGGCAACUACGAGGAACUGCGACGUGCAGCGCGCUUGGAGGCACGCAAGCGUGCGCAAUCAUGGCGAUGGUAAGCAUGGCAUGCCGUGCAGCGGAGGUUUUGGGCGCCGAGCAGAAUUGUGCUUUCAAUUUAUCCGCGUGUGGCUGUUGCGCAGGGCGCGGCCUGUCAGGCUGCGCGAUGCUGUCGUCAUCGUCGCGCUUAGCGUACUCAUGGCAGCGGCAGCCGCGGCGGCUGUGCUGUUGGCGAGCGGCUGGAUGGGCGCCGGGCAGGCUCAGUGGCGUGCUUUGCGCUUGGACGGUCUGCCGGUCUCGGGCGGCGAAGCGAGUGGAGAGCUUCGGUGGUCUCAUGGCCUCCGAGGGUGGCGCCAUUUCUUCGCGGUGGAACGGUGUGGUCAUUUGGCGUACAUGACUUGGCAGCAUGGUGAGCGCAGGGUGGGCGGCAGCAGGGUGGGUGGGCGCCAGGUGUGUUGUUGUGGUGGACUAGCAUCGCCGGCGGCAUGGGUAGUUGGGUGCUCAAAGCGGGUGAGACAGUUACGUGCGGGGCGCCAGUAGUGGCGUUCACAGGGAGCUGUGGUUGCCAGAGGGAGUGAUGCGGAUGCAUGCCAACUGCGUGUACAUGCAGGUGCGCGGAAGGACACCUGGCAGGAGCGAGGGGCAUUUGGAGCGCAGGCGCUGCUGGUGCUGCAGGCGGCCCCUCUGCUGCUGCUGGGGAGCUUGUGCGCAUUGUUAGGCGGUGCGGCAGCACGCGUGGCGACGGUGCUGCUGCUGCUGCUGCGCACGGCAGCAACGCGCAGCGGAUUGAGCAGCGCAGCUGCUUGGGCAUGGGCGGGAUGGGGUUUGAUGACGGCGGGGCAUCGGCAGCCGCUGUGGCGGGCGCUGGCGUCGCUGUGGCAGCAGUGGAGGCGCUGGCACAUGCUUGCAGGACGGGACAGUGGUGGGCGCAUUUCCAUUCGCGUGUACAGCCAGCGCGUGUGGUGGGCAGCCCUGGGUAAUGUGCAGCGCACCGCGCCGGCCCUGGCGUGGGAUGCACUCGUACUGGGUUUGGGUGCCGGCGCGGCGGUCGCCGGCGCCGUGGCAUGGGCUGGAGCGCGUGUAGAGCUGGAGCUACCCUGGCACCUGGCCUGGGUCCGGAUGGUUGCAGGCGAGCUGCUGCAGCCUAGCGUGCACGCGCUGCUGAGUGCACAUGCGAGCAGCCUCUUCAACGACACCCGUGCAUGGCCCAGCUCAGGUGCCAACGCAGCAGCAGUGGUGUGGCACGUGGGGAUGUGCCCUGCUGUGUUUCAGGCAGUGGUGGGUAUGCUAUGGUGUCGGUGGCGGCGGUCUGUGCGCACACUGAGCGGCAAGACAGGCGUUGUCAGCGUGCUGCCAUGCGACCCAGCGGCUGUGCUGCUGCUAUCGACUGCGGCAAACGAAGGUGUGCCGCCGGUUCUCCUGCGACUGCUGUGGCGUAGCCGGCGCGUGCGCUUGCAUCGCAGUUUCGCGGCGCAGGGCAUUUUGCCAGGCAGCACAGUGUUUGUGACCAGCGUGCUGUACGGCGGCAUCGGGUUCACAGAGGCGGAAGUGCGGCGCGUGUGCGACGCUGUGGAGAAGCUCGCGCGCAGGGACGCGGGUGCAUGCGCGCGCAUGGAAGCUGGGCAGUGGGAGCCGCUUGUGCAGAUGCUUGCACAUCAGAGUACUGCUUCGCCAGCAGUAGUGGAGGCCGUACUCCGCGAGCGCGCAGCGACAAUUCGAGCGGCGGUGGCGGUGGCAGGUAUCACGCAUCGCAUGUUCGCUGCACGCACUGCAAAGCAGCAGGCUGCGCGAGCAGCGGCGGCCGGGUCGGCAGCAGCUGGCGGCGUACAGGCGAGUGUGGGUGGAGGGCCAGGCACCUCAGCUGUAGGAGCGUCGCCUGCUGCCAGGACCGGGCCUGGCUCAGCAGGUGCAGCGGUGAGCGACUAUUCGGGUGCAGCUGGGGCGCCUUCAGCAGCCCCACAGGAGCAGGCUGCGCGAGCAGCGGCGGCCGGGUCGGUAGCAGCUGGCGGCGUACAGGCAAGUGCGGGUGGGGCGCCAGGCACCUCAGCUGUAGGAGCGUCGUCUGCUGCCAGGACCGGGCCUGGCUCAGCAGGUGCAGCGGUGAGCCGCUAUUCGGGCGCAGCUGGGGCACCUUCAGCAGCCCAGCACAAAGUGACAGCAGCGCCCGGGGCUAGGCUGGCCGGCGUACCGCAGCAGCCGCGCACGCUCCGGCAGCGUGCGCAGGCGGAGGCGUUCAAGUCGAUGAUGCGGCAAGGGCUGGAUGAGGGUAGCCGUGCUCAUGCCGCUGCACAGACUUGCACGUUCACUAGGCCAGAGCAGCCUGCGGCACCGGCAUCAGUGGCACGGGAGGGGCAGCCGCAGGGGCGUUAUGUCACAGAUGUCAUUGCUGGCAUCGUGGGCGUGCUGCGGCAGCACCGGGAUCUAGCCAGCAUCUUGCACCGCAAAGAGAUGAACAUGCUGCUGCCGGGUGAGUUGAAGCAGCUUGCCGAGGCGCUGCAGCAGCAGCUGCCCGAGAAGCUGCGCAGCAGCUCAGUGUAUGGGAUGCAGACGUGGCUACAUCACCACGCAGACGAGAUUGAGCUCGCGCUAGCAGGCGUGCCAAACCCCGAUGCGGUGGCAGCAGCUGCCGGUGUGGGCGGAGCAGCCAUGCCGUGGGAGGUGCAGCUGGGCUUGCAGCGUGUUGCGGAGAUGAUGGGGCUGGCCUCCGACGCGGAGAAGCAGCCGGCAGCGGAGGCAUGGCAGGAGCGGCAAUGGCACACGCUAACAGAUUGCAUCAGUGCUACGCGCGCUGCAGCCAGGGUCGCAGGAGACACCGCCGGGGCUGCAGGAGUGGGCGUAGGCACAGGCGGCGCGCAGACCGCCGCUGGUGGCGUGCCUGACAUCGCAACGUCACGCUUGUGUGACGAUGCCGCUGCAGCACAGGCGAUGCGCCAGCAGAUGGCCGCGGAGUUGCCAACGCAGCCGUGCAGCGUAUGCGGUCGCCGCCGGCGUCAGCGCGAUGUCCAUUGGCAUCGUGUGUCGGGAUUGCGGGAGUGGCUUGACGAACAGCUCAGCGCAAUGCUGCCGGGCACAGCAGAGGCGCCACGGGAUGGCAACACGCUGUGGGCUCCGCCGACGUCGGCCGAAGCUACGGCGUUGCUGGCGGGUGCCACGGGCGCUGCGUCAAUGUCAGGUGAGUGCCGAGACGAGUACGGCUGGGGCGCACUCGGACGCAGUGCAGUGAUGGUGGGAAUGGGAAUACAAGCGGGAACGCACCGGCGCGUGGUGGCCAGCAGGUGCCUGGCGUUGUGUACGUGUACCGUGACGCGCACCAAAUCACACUGACGUGCAUGUAAUUGAUGGUUUGCCCGGCCUACAGACAUUACGGAGCGCGUGAUGCGCGAGGGCGCAGCCUCAGGGCGCGCGGUGUAUCGGCUGCAGGCGCAUCCUGCGGCGGGCACAGUCCAGCUGGCCGCAGAUGGCGAUCACCAGCUGCGUGUGUGUGUCGAUUGUAUGCGAGCGCACCAGCAUGGGCACCUGCCCUCACUAUCGUACGCGUGCGUUGACAAUGGGUUGCGGCCGAGCCACCUACCGCAGCUCACGGUGAUGGAGGAGCGGCUGGUGGCAGUGUGGCGGCCGCUCCGUAACCUGAUGGUGUGCAGGCCGCCAGCCGCGGGCGGCGGACCGGGGCAUUGGGAGAUGCGCGCGCACGUGAUUGCGUUCAAGGCGCCGGAGCCGCAGCAGCUGGCAGCAGUAUUCCCGUGCAGCCUGGCGCGCGUGCCUGAAUGCCGGCAUCACCGUGGUGUUUGUGAGCCCGGCACAGACGUACCAGCAGCUGGAGGCGUUGGCGCGCCGCGUGCCCGCGCUGAUGGUGCGGGGGAAAGUCGUGGCGGCCUGGGCGCGGCACUUGGCAGCUCGCUCUGUAUCCCAGCGCGCGCCUGGACGAGGCGGCCGUGCAGGAGUGGGAGCGGCAGCCGCUUAGUUACAGCGGUAGCGGAUGCGCUCGCGCGGCGCGCUGUCUGCACGCAAACCCAAGGCGAGGCAUCAGCGCUGCUGCGGACUCUGCGGGCGGAACAGGAGGGGUAUGCGCGCGCGCGGUACGGUACUGCAGAGGAAGCUGCAGCUAGAGGGGCGAGUACAGGAAUGGCGGCGGGCGUCAACAGCGACAGCAGCAGCGGCUCGGACAGCGAGGCCGUCAUUGUGCAGCAGUCGCUUGCACGGCCGAGCCGGAAGCGGCCCAGGUUGCUGUCUGCUGCGCACAUGCAGCGGCUGCUGUGUGGGCUGGAUCGCGACGCGAGCGUGGCGGUGCGGCAGUUGCUUCUGGCCCACAACUUCAAGGCUGCUGCUACAAAGCUGCUUCGCCACCACGGCGGCGUGCCAACCAAGGAGGCGGUGACGCAGAUGCAGGUGCAGCUGCAAACGCAGCAUUGUAAUUACGAGCAGGUGCGCGGCAGCCUAGCAUGGCGAUGAGCGCGGUGCGGUCGAGGUGCUUGGCGGGGCGGGCGUUGGGUGUGGCAUGAGUAGGAGGUCCCCGCGGCCGGCACGGAGAAAAUUGGUUCAGGGGUGGAACGGUAUGGGCAUGGGCAGCACUAGAAUAGCAGAGGGGGCCGCAUGGGUGGAAAGGCGGCUACAAGUAGGGCGGCUUCGCCAGGCUUCAAGUAUGUGCGUGUGUGCACGUGCAGGUGUUAACGGACCACGAACGAGCGCUCACAGCUGAGGUGAGGCGGUGGCGUGCUUCUCGUCAAGCAACACUGCAUCGAGCGGAUUUGCAUGGCAGUGGGUUGCUAGGCACAUGAAAUGUAUACGGCUGGAUUGUGCGGGUUGGGUGGCGUCGCUGUGGCGCCAGGCGUUCAGUGCUGACAUGAGGCCCUGUGUAUACGCGUGGUGGAUGCUGUGCGUGCAGGCGAAUGCGAGUGGCAGCACGCGCCCGCUGUCACGCCCGCCAGCGGGCGCACCGCUGCCGCCAGGCAGCUUGUUCGUGGUGCACGAGCCGCAGGCACUGUCGCCGGUGCAACGGGAGCACCGUGCGCGACGGCCGCAGUCUCUUUCAGGACUGCCUGCAGAAGCCGCACAGCGUGCAGGCGCAGCAGCACUAGCAGCGGCGGCGGCAGGGGCGGAGGUGGCGGCAGCAUUCAGCAACUGCGGCCAGAACGUGACACAUAUGCAGGGCAUAGACGACGUUGACUUGUCGCCAACGCCAGCAGAUUCGCCGGCGUUGCGCGCGGUGUUUCAGGACGCCUGCGCCGACGAGCGUGCCCUGCAGCUGCUGCUGGACGGAUGGCCACUCGCGUCAUGCACGGAGCAGGCCCCGCAGUCAGACUAUCAGCCGGAGUGGCCGCUGCGCGUGCACGUGAAUCGGUUUCCUAACGGCACGGGCGCAUGCCCGACCGGCAUGCAGAUGCUCAGCUGGAUCCAGCUGCAGCUGCAGCGAUGGUACCCACCAGCGCCGGACGGCACCGAAGACUGCAGCGCCCAGGCACCACACUUCAUUCUGGACAUGUUUGACGCGUGGCAGCGGCACACAGUCAACCAGCAGGUGGCGGUGCGCUUCAAGCUGGACCCGCAGCUCAUCAUGAGCCUCGGCGACAUGGGGCCGGACACGCUGGUGGAGGCAGCCGACGUGCUUGCAGCAGGCCUAUCACGGACGGAGCAGGCCCAGCGGCUGCACGGAUCACCACCGGAAGUGGAGCAGCUCGUGCGUGGAGCGCGCAUCACGGGCGCCCAUGUGGUGGGCUCGCCUGGCUCCUAUGCAGCACUGCGCAGCCGCGCGUACGGGCUGUGGGCUGCGUACGGCCCACCCAGCGCCAGUGUGACGCUCAACCCCGCAUCGGUGCACUCAGAUGCCACGUUCACGCUGAUGGGGCGUCCGUACACCUUCGACGUGCGGACAGGCGCGCCGCAGCAUCGGCCCAUGGCCGCGGAGCGGUGGGACCUGGUGGCGGGGCACCCGCUCGCGUGUGCCGAGUCCUUUGAGGCGUUCAUGGACGCGUUCUGCGACGUGUUCCUCGGGUGGCCAGCAGGAUCAGAUGUGCAGCAACGUAGUAACUGCCUGUUCGGGCGCGUUGACGCCUUCUUCUUCAAGUUCGAAAUGAAUCAGCGUGGAGAGCUGCACGUGCAUGGCUGUAUCUGGCAGCCAGGGCUGCAGCCAGCACGCCUGCGAAAGGCGCUAGCGGAUCCGCGGAGUUGUCCCGACGUGCUGCUGGACUUCCUGGAGUCCGUGCAGACGCAGUGGUUCGCCUCGCCGCUGCUGUUCAGCGGCGGCGAGCGACCGGUCCACGCUCAGAAGCUCAGCACCGAGCAGCUGCAGGAGGUGGCUGAGGCGGCUGGCAGCGAGCGCUUGACGGAGCUGCAGCGGGACGUUCUCAGGGAGGUGCUGGUGGAGGUGAAGGCCAGGGGGGCUAUGGAAGACGCAGCCGUGUCUUGUCGGCCGCCUCUACAAUGCAGCAGCUUGACUGAGGCGGAGCGGCUUGGGUUAUUUGCUGCGCAUGCGGUCCUGGAGACGCUGCUGCACGCCCAUCGCGACGGCACGUGCACCACGUCACACAGCAAGCAUGCCACGGACAGCAACUGCCGCAUGCGGCUGCCUCGGAUGCUGCACUGGCUCACCACGUACCUGCACGAGCAGUCGGUGUGCGUGCAUCUCAAGCGGUAUGGCCGCUACAUGGUCUCGCAUAUGGUGGACCUGCUGCUGGCGGUGCCUUGCAAUCACACCGUCACGUUUGCGUGUGAUGUGGGGCGCUGGCUGCGCACGCGCGAGCUAUGGGAUCAGCGGCACGAGGGCAUUCCGCGCACGGACCCUGUGUGGGAGCGACGGCCGCAGCUGCCCAGCCUUGAGCAGCUGGCCGCGGACGCAGCGGACUAUGCCCUGAAGUAUGCCACCAAGUCUGAAGCAGUGCAGGGCAGCAGGGCCCUUAUAGCUGCAGCCACUAUGCUGCGGCGGCGCAUGCACCUCAUGACCCCAGAGCAGCAGGCCGGGAUUGAGAGCGAGCACCUGUCGAUCCAGGACGUGCUGGAUCAGCUACGGCAUCCCUUCGCUGCCUUUGCGGACGCCAGCGCCUCUGCCUGGGCGCCCCGGCCUCCUACUGCAGGUGUGUCAGCUGCAGGCGAGAGCAGCACGCCGGCACAGGCGCAGUUGACGGCGGAGGUGACGGCACGCGCACAGCAGUCCGCGACUGUGGCCGCGCUGCGCACUGCGCGGCCUGUCGGCGCGGCUGCGGUGCAACGGGAGGGGAUGUUCAACCUUGCGCACGCCAUCAACCUGCUGUUAACAGCCCAGCAGACGUUCUCCGCUCCAGCAGCGGCGCUGCUGCUGAUGCGGGGCACCGACGCGCACGAAAGCCACCAGUUCAGGGCCAUCGAUUACAGGAUGUUCUCGCAGCAUGUGCAGUCACAGCUGAAGCGCGCGGACCCGGAGCUCAGGCCCAGAGACGCCGAGCUGCGGCUUGUGCGUACAAUGGGCAGCGUUGGAGCGGGCGGGAGUGCCAGAGGGGAAGGUCAGGUUCCGGCCGCCAGCACAAUCGCUAGCGAUGUCCCAGGUUCCGGGCCCAGCGGAAGCGUGCAGCAGCUAGAGCAGCUCGCCGUUGCACCUGCUCGUUACCGGUCAUCAAGCUACCUGAAAGACUACCUGUACCGCGGCGAGGCGCUGCGCGAGCUGUCUCCUAUGAUGAUGGCCAUGUUGUUUUAUAAGGUACGAGGUUGUGUGCGCGGCAGGUUGCACGCCUGGAGUUAUGGGGUGCAGGGGUGUUCAGUCCGUAGGCUCGCAUGUGUUGUAACGUCUUCCAGCAGCACUUCGGCAGGACCCAGCAGCAAAGAAGUGUAUGUGUGCCCACCACCCCGCAGCACUCGGCCGGGCCAGAUGGAGCGCAAGGGCACCAUCUGCGCCUGCAUCCCGCGCACCCAGAAUACAGUAAAUGCGUGUGGCGGCGCAGGCUGCGGCCGUACGUGCCGCAGCCGGUGUGUGACCCCGUUGUGCGGCCUGCGGACGGCGUGGACGAUCCGCAGGUACUGUAGCGCUAUGCAGUGUUUGCGCUCGCGAACUUCGCCGCCUACAGCUGUGACGACAGGCUCGAUCUCAGCAAUGGCGCAUGGGCAGCUUAUCAGCGGUGCUUUGCACAGCCGGCGCACGGCCAGUCGCUGCAUGUGCGCAUCGCGUGCCGUAUGCUCGAUCACGUGGAUGGGCUUGCGCGCGUGCGAAUGCGGGCGGAGGAGCGGCGGCAGCUGCAGGCGGAGGCGGAGGGCACCGCUGAGGAUCGGAUGCGGCGGAGGAGGCACUGUUGGAGGGCGUGCCGGUGGAGGGCAUGGACGACCUGGAGGCAGAGCCGCAGGAUGAUGAGGAACCCGAUGUUAGGCGCAGCGCAGCGCCCGCAGCGGAGCUCUGGCAGGGUUGUGCGCUAUCGGAAACGGAACGGGCAGGGCUGCUGCAGCGCGUUGUGCACAGCGGCCUGGGUGGCAGUCUGACUACAGAGGCGACCACCGUGGUUGCCCAGAUCCCGCGCGCCAAUGCAUGGCCAGCGGUUGGGCGUACAGCGGCGGCGGCAGUAGUGCGCAGCACGCAGGAGUGGACGCACGAGCGGCUGGCUGCAGCACAGCAACGCAUGCAUGAUUACGACCUAGGCGGGCAGUACGCCGCACAGGCGCUCGCGCAGGCGCAGGGAGCAGUGCAGCAGCAGCUGCUGCUUUACAACAGCGGCACUGCGGCAGUGACAGCGAAGCUGGUGCUCAUCUCGCCAUUGGCGGUUACCACAGCCGCCCCAGAGGUGCAGGCCGUCUGGCCUGACGCAGCGAACCCUGGUGCAGAGCCGCCGUACGUGCUUUGCCCAGAGGACUCGCAGCCGACGCCUGAAGACACAGCGCGGUUAUGGAACCUCAGCGACGACCAGCAGCAGGCGUUCAUGCUGUACGCGCAGCUCCUGCUAGCAGAGGCCGCCGGCGUCCGUCAGCCCCCCGUGUGCUCGGUGCUCACGGGCAAAGCCGGCAGCGGCAAGUCGCGGGUGCUGCAGGCAUUGCUGUGGUUUGCAUACCAGCAUCGCUGCGAGUCUCUCAUUGCCCUCGUGAGCUACACGUGGCGCGCCGCGCUGCAUGUGAGUUGUGUGUGGGGUGUGUGGUGCAAGAGAGGUUCAGUUCAGACGUGAAGUGUGGUGGUGGUGGACUGGUCCUGGUAGUCCUGCUCGUGCGUGCCGGGGAAUUUAGCAGCCAGCGAGCCUUACAUGAUCGUGCUGUUGGCUUCGGCCGCUGCCAUCAUGGUCCAUUUACAGGACUCUACGCCAGGCGUGCUCGGCACCAGCACCACGUCCUUCUUUGCAACUGCUGGCACCUUUGGUCCGCCUCACCGCGAUCGAGUGGAGCGCAACCUCAAUGGUGUGCGCUUCAUUUUCCUAGAUGAGUUUAGCACGUGUGGGCUAUCCCACUGGGCGCGCAUUUGUAUGCAUGUGCACGCGGCACGGAGGCACGUGGGUAUAGACAGCACGCACUUAUAUCACGGGCCGCUGUCAGAUUUGCAUGGCCUGCUUGUUGGCGACUUGCGUCAGUUGCCACAGCCACGGCACGUGCCGCUAUAUAGCGGUGCUGCCGAGGAGAGCUUGCGGCGGCUGCUGGCGCCGGGCGUGGGGGACGGUGGGGCCAUGGAGCGCCAGAUCCGGCAGCUGGAGCAUCCGGAGGGCAGCAUGAACCUCAUGGGGCGGGAGCUGUGGAAUAUGGUGCCGUUCGCGUUCGUUCUCACUCACCAGCAUCGGCAGCAAGCAGGCGUAGGUGACAGCGACGAACCUCUCUUCAUGCUAGCGGAGAAGUUUGGUGGCGUGCAGGAAAUCUCUCAGGCAGACCUGGACACAGCGUGCCAGCAGCUCAAUGCUCGUGUUUGGCAGCCCCCGAAGCCAGGGAUUGACCCCGGGCCCCAGCCCUUUGCAGUUGUCCAGCGCCAUGUCGUGCGGGUUCCACUGGCAUUGCAGCUCGUGCAGCUGCAUGCGCUCGCGCAGCGUCAGCAGCUGCUGCUGUGGCGUAGCGCGGACUUGUCGCCUGACGGCAGCAGCUUACCUAUUUCGCAUGUGCAUCAAUUAGAGGCGCUUGGCGGGGCCAAGGAUGAUAGCGGUGUGCCCGCUGUGUGCGCAUUCUUUGCUGGUAUUCGUUACGUAUUUACAUCAAAUGAGCAUGUGCGUCUGUAUCACAUCAACAACAACAGUGCCACAGGCACCGGCAUUGUUCUGCAUCCCAACGAGCCACCAUUGCCAGAUGCAAGCAUUGCCCCCGUGCAUGUCCUCAAGUUCGUGCCCUCAGCUGUAAUGGUGCGCCCCGACGGGCCUGAUGCGGGUCGGGUGUCUGUUGAUCAGGCCCUGGAUGUCGGGGAGAUUCCUGUUUUACCGUGCAGUGCUAUGUUCACAUCGCAGCAUGCAACCCUGCGGUUGCCUGUGAUGCACUGGGGCUUUCGUGUGGAGCUUGCGUAUGCAGUCACCGAUUACUUUGCGCAGGGGCAAACUCUGCCACCGCACGAACUGUGGCUGGUGGAUAUGUGCAAACCGCAGCACGGUAGUUGGCGGCGGGCUUCCAUUUACGUAAUGCUCACCAGGUUUCGUGGGUUGCAUGCCUUGCAUUUAGUGCGCCCGCUGUGGGCCUCGCGGGCAGAAGAGUGCCGGGUUAAAAAGGCGCUGCGUACCAUGCUAAUGCCCGAGGCAGAUCUAGCUGCAGAGUGGCAGCGGCUAUUGAGGCUCUCGCAGAGCACAGCAAUAGCGGUGCCAGGUAUGAUUGAGCGCAUUCAGGCGAGCAUGGGUGUCUCAUAACCGAGGCCUUCCAUGCAUGCAUGGUUGCAACAUCUGGCAUGUGGCGCUGAACGCUGGGUUGUCCUGCGUCCCGGCCAGCACGGAUAGCGUAGUGCUUUUAACAUGCGCGAGGUGUACUGACAGAUGACCUGGAAGCGCGGAGUACCUUGUGGAUGGUGAGUGCUGAUUGCAAUUUACAGCAGUGACUUUCUUGUUGGUGUUUGGUGUGGUGACCAUCAUGCUUGGCUUCGCUGACUGGACGUAUGUCACUGAGCUGUAGAGCAACGUGUAUGUUCGGGUUUAGUUUCUACCUGUCCUGUCUCUGCGUGAAGCUGGGGUAUUGUUUAUUGACUCCUUACUGCCGUGUAGCGUUACAAACCGCCACGGCCCCAAACGACAAUCCCAAUCUCUCAAACCGACAAUAGCCUCCACUCAUGCCUCAAGCGGCCUAGCAACUCAUUCGUGGCCCUCAGCGGCCUCCUACCUCCGGCCUCGCAGCUCCCGAUAACCCCACCAAGUCCGCCGUGCCCGCCCCAGCCCGCCCGUGUUGAGGUUGCACUAGUGGCCGAAAGUGCUGCCAGUACUGGGUGUGUCGCAUGUAUGAAGUGCCUGAUAGCAGCAGAGUCCAGACAACCACGCACGCCGCAGCGCCCACGGGUGCCACCACAUUAAUCCGCGGCGGCACCAGGGGGGGCGGGUGGGUUGUCACCGUCCCGGCAGAGGGACGAUCCGAAAUACAGUACAGAAGCACAACGGCAGAUAAGGCGCCGUGUGCUCCUGACGCGUACAAGACCCAGCUCGGUUCGGCCCCAUGCACAGGCACGUACCCGAGCGUCCUGCGCCGUGCGUGACUCUAACGCAACACGGCAGUUACGUCGCAAUAACUAGACUUAUCUCCACUGCGCUGCGAUAAGUCAGCGCUUAUUGACUCCUUACUGCCGUGUAGCGUUACAAACCGCCACGGCCCCAAACGACAAUCCCAAUCUCUCAAACCGACAAUAGCCUCCACUCAUGCCUCAAGCGGCCUAGCAACUCAUUCGUGGCCCUCAGCGGCCUCCUACCUCCGGCCUCGCAGCUCCCGAUAACCCCACCAAGUCCGCCGUGCCCGCCCCAGCCCGCCCGUGUUGAGGUUGCACUAGUGGCCGAAAGUGCUGCCAGAGUUUGGUAGUAGUCCUCAACGCCGGGAGGUCAUGGUGCGGGCGACGGCAGCCCUGGUGGCUGGGCUUGAUUGGCUUCGCGUAUGCAGCUCUUCUCGCAAAGCGCUUGGCCCAACGGCCGGUCAUGCAAACCAAGGUGCGGUCGGCGGUGAUGGCGGUGGCGUUCGUGCCCUUGCGCUACCGAAAUCAUGUGUCUCGAACACCGCGGAGCGCUCCGCCCAUCGCCUAGCUUGCGCACGAACGUACGGUCCUAGUUGCACACUCAACAGCGGUCAAUAGAACGAGCUUCGUGCUUGGGGAUAUUGGCUGCACGAGCAGCACCAUCACGCGGGGAUGAGCGCCGCCGGAGGCGCCGCCGGCACCUGCUGCAGGCGCAGGGCGACGCCAACGCGGGGCCUGACAGCGCCACACUCCGUCGGUCAUGGGCGGCCAAUGGUCACUACCAGAAGACAAGCAGCAAUAGGAACACGACUGGCUUUGCAAGGGCCAUGAUACCAGACUCACAAACGUAUCAGGUGCACCAAUGGCCACGACAGAAACACACAUGCGUUAUCCCGCGUGCGCCAGCCAUGCAGACGACGCCGGGGCGUUACAGGGAAACACAUGCAUCCUUGUUCAGGUGUGUGGCUUGUGGGCAGCUGUGGCCGUCCGUGUGCCCAGGAAAGGUAACAGUGCGUGUUGGCACGUGUUGGCACGAACCACUGGAGACCUCGGUACUCUCUACCGGCCCCCAGGGCCAUGCCAUAACACGUGUUGACGUUGUAGGCUGCUCGGAACAACCUUGGGAAUAAUAACAACGUCGUGACUCGAAGCUGGGACAGGCUAGCCAACAUGCGCCACGCAGGAGAAGGCGCGAGUUGCAACACUAGAGCGGUUUUACGUACGCGAGUCACGCGCGGCAACCUGCCCUUCGUUCACCCGCGCCGUCGUGGUGUAGGAUGCGGGCAGCCAUGCCCAGCCGUGCAGCAUGGCCACGAACACUAAUUUCUUUCUUGCUAGCUAGGUGCCAUGCUUGAGAUUUGCAGUGUCUUGCAUAAGAGUCACUACCAAUCAAGCAGUAGGUACACCCAUAGAUAGCAUCACCCCGGCGGACGCAGGACAGGCGCGCACGUGAAUGUUUGCCUCCAAACGCCGCGGGGAUGCAUGCACACAAUGUCCCGUACGUGCCGAUACCGUACGCCACGGCAGCUGUGGGGUGUACCGUAAUAGCAGGGAGGGCAACAUGAAGGGUAACACCUCAGCAACCCCAGCAAGGCUGGCCUGGUCGAGCGGCGCGGAGGGGUGAAGGAUACCCGGCACGCGUGGAACGCGCAAUGUAUCUAUAGUGAUAGAAGGCGUAGUGAUGGGAGGAAAUAAGGAGCACUCGGGGCCGCGAUGGCGGGUUGGAUGCGCCACGGGCCCCGGCCCAGCCAAAGGGAGCGAACGCUGGGCGGAGCCGGUGGGUGAGCGACUCGAGGGACGUGCCAGUAGUGAACAGCAGUGGCGGAUGGGUCAUCCAAUGUGAGAGAUGAUACAGCCACGCCGGCAGCCAAACUCCGCACUCGACCACGUACGGGCACGUCGUGGUACUGCUGUGAGGAGGCCGGGCUGAGUUGGGAUGCCUGCCAAGCCUGGCUACCCACAUGUGAGCCUGUGUCGCCAUACGCUCUUAAUAGUAAUGACAUAUAGCACACUGCUCCUAGCACUUCGGUGAUAAGUAAUUGCCCCGCCGGGUGAAGUAAGGCCGGGGCUGAAAGGAACCAAGGUUGGUUCCCUAGGCGUCCACUCGCGAGUGGGCAGGCGACACAUACAGUUGGCAUUGACGUGCGUUGCGGAACUAAUGCGUACGUUGGCUUGGGUCUCUGGGUUCAUGAGGCAUUGACAGAACACGCUGCCCCUGCUAUGGCUCUGACGAAGUAACAUGUAUGCAUACAUGUCCUGAAGGAUUGGCAGGGAGCGUGCCGCACAGCACGCAAGCCGCGUGACUACGGUAAGCAUGAGGCCAUAACGUGACACAGAUGCCGUGCCAUACAGGCGGCCAACGCUACGGCACAAGCCAGCUUGACGCGUCCACAGAUACAUACAUGGCGCCUGACACCUGGAUAGGAGCUAUCAGUCUGACUGUGGGGUCGAUGCUACCCCGGCAUGGAUCUGGGUUGAACGGUUGGUGGUACCAUCGCGCGGGCAUGGCGGGUCGAGUAGCGUGUUUCAUGCACGGCACUCCCGCUAACCAGCUACACACCGCAGUGUACUGGUUAUCCAACAACUACAUUCAGACCAUUCUGGUAUCCCACUCAAACCUGCGCCAAGUGUCAGGAAAAGCGCUUGCCAAGUCGGCUACCCGCUUUCACAGGAUGGCGAGCGGGUGACUGGCAUGUGUACAGGCGGGUGGGCCAACAAGAGGGGAGGGCGGAUGGGUGCCGUGACUUGGUGGUGGGCCCCACCGCGAGCAGCAACAGCCCAGCCCAACACACGGGCGCCAUCCAAACCCACCAGGCAGGCUGUAAUCCCAGCUCCGACCGUAUCUCGCAACAAAAUGUUGGUUGCGCAGGGUCGGGCUCACUGCGUGACACAGCGUCCGAUGCCUGGUGCAGGGCACGAAGGCAUGUUUAUGCGUCAUGCGGUAUAGUUAUGCGUCAUGCGGUAUUGUUAUUGGCUGGGCAUAGCAUGCUGGCCGAACUGCACAAAACUCCACAUCGCUCACUGAGGGCGAAAUAUCCGGAAAAACAAAUUCGGCACUUGGGCCUAGUGCACACAUCGAAUGCAUAUAGGUUGGCUUGGGGUGCGUCAGCCAAACUACAAGGGUGGUGCCGCGUGAUAGUAUGAUGUGCGUGCGGACCUCAAGACGUACAGGGUGACGCAUGAUCACGUAAGCCCGCUCCGUUGUCAACACGAAGCAAUAGCGAGGCGCAGGCUUGCCGUGCACGGUACACUCAAGGCGUAUUGCGACAGGGCACGCAGCAGGGCACGCAACAAGUCGAAGCGUCCAUAACGACAGGGCAGGCAGCAUAAUUGCAUGCGGCACACAGGCCAUAUCGCAAGACACAUGAUGCGAGGCGCAAAGCCUGUUGCUGGCGGCACACACGCCGUAUCCGAACGUGGCGCUCAGACCACACAUUGUCCACAACGCAAAGGCAUGUACAACGAAGGCACGUAAGCAUUUCAAUGCCGUCUAUAAUCCACAACGCAAGAGUGUGGAGCCCGUUGCUUGCGGCACACAGGUCGUAUCAUAAGGGCACGUAUGCCAUCUAUUACCCAAAAGCAAGGGUGCGAAGCCGUUGCUUGCGGCACACAGGUCACAUCAUACGGGCACGUAUGCCGUGAAUUGUCCAUAAAACAAGGGUGCGGAGCCCGUUGCUUGCGGCGCACAGGCCGUAUCAUAAGAACACGUACGCGGCGCAUUGUCCAUGAAGCAAGGGCGCGGAGCCCGUUGCCUGCGGCACACAGGCCGUAUCAUGAGGGCACGUACGCCGUGAAGUGUCCAUGGAGCAAGGGCGCGGAGCCCGUUGCCUGCGGCGCACAGGCUGUAUCAUGAGGGCACGUACGCCGUAAAUUGUCCAUGAAGCCAGGGCGCGGAGCCCGUUGCUUGCGGCGCACAGGCCGUAUCAUAGGGGCACGUAUGCCGUCCAUUGUCCAUAAAGCAAGGGCACGGAGCCCAUUGCUUGCGGCGCACAGGCCGUAUCAUAAGGGCACGUAUGCCGUCCAUUGUCCAUAAAGCAAGGGCGCGGAGCCCGUUGCUAGCGGCGCACAGGCCGUAUCAUAGGGGCACGUAUGCCGUCCAUUGUCCAUAAAGCAAGGGCGCGGAGCCCGUUGCUUGCGGCACACAGGCCGUAUCAUAAGGGCACGUAUGCCGUCCAUUGUCCAUAAAGCAAGGGCGCGGAGCCCGUUGCUUGCGGCGCACAGGCCGUAUCAUAAGGGCACGUAUGCCGUCCAUUGUCCAUAAAGCAAGGGCGCGGAGCCCAUUGCUUGCGGCACACAGGCCGUAUCAUAAGGGCACGUAUGCCGUCCAUUGUCCAUAAGGCAAGGGCGCAAAGCCCGUUGCUUGCGGCGCACAGGCCGGAUCCCAACGGCACACACGCCCCUUCCCCAAGGGCACGCGGGCCCUGCGGCCUGGAUAGGCAGACAGGAGAAGUACCGCGCCAAAAGUCCUGAGGGUCUUGGGGAGGUGGGGGUGGCACAAUGGAAGAUGUGGAAAGGUAUUGCACAAAGCUGUGAACUGUAAAGCGACGGGUAGACACGAAGGCACGGCAAGCAGGACCGCGCAUGGCAAGCAAGUAGCCCGCCCGCACAGCUGUGCAUGCCCUUUUGCUUUCAGUGACUUGCCGAACGCCUUGUCCGCAACGCUUCGCGCGCCUUUGCUCCGCUUGAAAGCUCCGCUCUGCUCCGAUUUGCUCCCGAAUGCGGCCCCCGAACCAAAGCGUGGUUCAAAGCGCCAGAGAAGCUUCGAAGGGCAUUCCCUUACGAUCAGAGAGCGAGCGUGAUCAAGCUAAGGGGUUCCAUUGAGCAGGAUCGCGCAACAAAACGCUGCAACUCCGUCUGAGUAUAUAUUAAACGCUUAUUCGGUCCAUACAUGGUCAAGUAUAGUUAGAACCAGGUAUAGGAUUGCAAAGAAAGUCCAGAAAUGUAGGGAACGUUUAAGUGCGACACACUGAGGUCACCGUCCCGGCAGAGGGACGAUCCGAAAUACAGUACAGAAGCACAACGGCAGAUAAGGCGCCGUGUGCUCCUGACGCGUACAAGACCCAGCUCGGUUCGGCCCCAUGCACAGGCACGUACCCGAGCGUCCUGCGCCGUGCGUGACUCUAACGCAACACGGCAGUUACGUCGCAAUAACUAGACUUAUCUCCACUGCGCUGCGAUAAGUCAGCGCUUAUCUGCUUGCUUGUCGUGCCUUGGAUUGUUGCGUGUUUACAACAGGUUGAUGUGUGGCGUGGUUAAUCCCUUGCACUUUGAUGAGGUUAUUGUUAGCCAGCUGGUGUUCGCACAGGAGGUUAGUGGUCAAUGAAUAGUCGACCGACAGAUGGAUCGCGGGAUUUGUUUUUGGCAUUUAUAGUUUGGAUUCUAUGCGCAACGUUGCUUGGAAUACACGCUUAAUAUGCAUAGUUGGAAGACUUCCGGGACGCGAAUCGCUUGGAAAUGGAGGAGGGUCUCAAUAUGCUCGGCUCGCGAUGUCGCGCUCCUGAGCUUGUAUUAUGUACUGUGCGCGAUGCGUGUUCAGCAUGCAUAUUCUUACGAACAACUAGAGACUUGAGUGACGCGGUGUGAAAAUCAGUCGGAGUCUUGACAUGCUUGGCUCGCCAUUUCGCGCUCCCGAGCUCGUUGUGUGUGUUCCGAGUAAUGCACCCUCAAAAUACACGUUCAAUAUGUCCGUGGCAAUGUUGGAGCUUCAAAACCGACAAGCAUGGUGUAUAGAUACACCUGGUAGCCUGAAUUCCUGUUUUCCCGGUGUAUUCUGUUGAUGUUGUAUCACGCCGUGCUUUGUCACAUUCUUGGUUAUUGCACCGGCGUGGCCUUGUUUGUAAAAUUCCGCGGUGCCCUGAUCUUAUCUACUUCUUUGCUGUGAUCUGGCAAAAAAAUAUGAUCUUGGCGGGAUUCGAACCUGAGACCAGCACUACGCUAAGCGCCAUAAUCAGACCCUCCAGAGGAGGGUGUGCACUGAGUUAGCGAUCCGGUGAUACCGGGUUAACACCUCCUCAUCGCUGUCACUUGCGUCAGAGUCCGCUGAUUGCAGGACCCGGGCCGCAGCGGCCCCAGAUCGCGCCUGAGAUGCCUACAAGCAUCAAUGGACGGGUAGGCAAUAACAACUGCUUUACCGUACCGUACACGGUAGAUGCUCACCUUGUGGUUGGCACGCUCCUCCUUCCAUUCCGCCUCCAACCUGCAACAAGGGGUGUCAGCUUUGUACAGCUGGAAAAUGGGCUGAGCCCCCGUACGCUUGGGAGCUAAUAGGUGUGUAACGCCCCGUCAGAGCCUCCAUGCCGCUACGACGCGCAGGCGCAUCGGCUAGGGACACUCGGGUUGGGGGCGUGCGGGAUUUCCCGCGCCACGCAUGCGUGCCUUGCCACGUUCCCAAACACCCCAAGCAUUUCUUUCGCCUCCUGCCAUACUCAACACCUCCCCGGCGCCCCACGCUCAAAGGGCUAGGCGCGGGGCGGGGGCGACCUCGGGGCUUCUCGGCAUUCUGGCGCGUAGGCAGGCAUGGCUCGGCAAGUCGCUCAAAACUUUCGAUAUACUUCCCCGCUUUGCAUGCCGCCAACAUAGUUUGCCUUAGAGACUGCAUAUCAGCGGGCACCGGAUGCUUUCCUCGCGACCUCGCGAAAGUCAAUUGUCCAUGGACCGCGAAGGCACUUCUCGCUCCGCCCGAAGUUUCCCUGCCACCUAUUUACAUGCAAUAGACAUUAACAAAUACUAAUACGUAGCACUCGCGGUUUGCGCCAGUAUGCUAUGUUUUGCCGACGCACGCAGCCACCAGCCACGGACAGGGGUGUUCCUGGGGGGCUUCGCCCCCCCCCCUGAAACGCUGCGCUGGGGGGGCUCAGCCCAAAAAGAAGCCAUGUCUACGUGCCGGCAGCAAUAGAGUACAGGCAUACUUACUCGGCCACCUUCUGAGCAACGAACGUACUCCGCCGCACCCCCAGCUGAUAGCCUCCUUUGCCUCCUCCUUCCGAAGUUCGUGCUUCAUGUAGUCCACCAGCGGCACGUUAGGAAACCCUAACUUCACCCGCGCGUCCAUGCACGUGCUGCCAUCACAUGUGCAGGACCCCCCGACUGCAGGAAUCCAGCUUGCAAUUUUCCCUGCUGACACGCCGUCAUCCUUGCUCCACUUGCCCCCGUUGCACAUGUGCACUGUGAAUCCUGUAUCGUACAGUUCCCGAAGGCCUGGCAGCACGGCGUUCUGCACGGCAGGUACGCGUCCUUUAGACAAGUGUGCGCCGUACUCCAUAAGAAAGACGCACCUGGUACACAAAGCGCAGCGUCUCCCUCACCAGGUAGGACUCUGGCUUGGGUGCUGGCCCUGCAGUGGUGCCAGUCGCCUUGGCCUUGACGAUGGUAUUGUUGGGCGGGGCUGGCGGAGCUGGUGUACUGCGUACGCGCACUUCUCCAGGUGCGUGAUGCUCGGCACGAGCAUAGGGUCAUCCAUGGAGCCGUAAGCAUGGACUUCAAUGGAGGAGGAGGUGGGGUCGGCGACAAUGUAGAUGGCGCCCGGCAGUUGCCUGUGAGUGCGAGUGAACAUGACGCACGGUGCAUCUCGAGAACAUCGCACGGCUUUGUUAUUUUAUGAGAGCACUCACUUCAGUUGCGAGCCCUUGAGGUCCUCCACGGCGUUGGCAUCAAACAGCGCCGAGAGGUUGUUGUUCGCAGCGUGUAGGCCAUGCCUGAUCCACUCGGGGAAAACCAAGGCGUCCGAAACCGGGGUUUGACGUCCGAACCUGGUCCGAAGCUGGUCCGAAGCCGGCCCGAAAAGUUCGGACCGGGAGGUUCGGAUGGGAGGGGCAGUCUGGGCGCCCAGCCCAGAGGCCUGGGCGGCCCAUUUCGGACAGGCCGAUUGAUUCGGAUGGCCGGCCCAAAGGAGGGCCGCCCGCCAACAUAGUAAUUCCUGUAACUUUAAGCUUUGCUAGUGGCUUCUUGAUUCUCACACAGUUUCAGUCCGUAGAACCAGCAGUUUAGAGUUGCGUCCAUGGACGUGUGAUUGCAGCAAACAAACAACUGCUGCCCCCACCCACCCCCACCUUCACUUCCGCACGGUGUCAGAUAAUGAUGUCGCAACUACCACCAAAAAGUAGGCUUAAUUAGAACCGGGAACUUCUGGACUAAACAGUGCUGAGGUGUCAGGGGGCCCGCCCUGGCCCAUCUCCGAUCUCGCUCCAGUCCCUGGUCAUGACAACCUCGCCACACAAACUGUUCAUAUGUCAAGGGGACAAGCUUUUACCCUGACGACGAAGCCGUAAGAAUGCUAGGGUGCAACACAGACAGAACCCAGACGAGUGACAGCGCGUGUCAACUUGGUUUGUCUUGCCACCACACCGAUGAACCGUUCUAUUUCCCACACAACCCAAUUGACAAGCAUAUUCACCUUCCCAAUGUGGCCGCCCCGCCACCCGGCCCCGCUCCGCCCCGGCCCCCGCCCCGCCCGCUAGGUGCAACACAGACAGAACUCAGACGAGUGACAGCGCGUGUCAACUUGGUUUGUCUUGCCCCACAUGCGGCCACACCGAUGAACCGUUCUAUUUCCCACACAACCCAAUUGACAAGCAUAUUCACCUUCCCAAUGUGGCCGCCCCGCCACCCGGCCCCCGCCUCCGCCCCGCCCCGCCCCGCCCCGCCCCGCCCCGCCCCGCCCCGCCCCGCCCCGCCCCUUCACCCUGAGUGUGUCUGAGCCAUCACACAAAGCGCUUCUCGAGCUCCACGUGGAUCUGGCGCGGCAGGUGGGUGUUGUUCGUUGUUUUCGCACUCUUUACGAACCAGUGCAGCCGCCGUCCAGUCGCCCGGCGUCGCCUGCAUGCACGAGGUUGGAGUGCACGAACAGCAACUCGCCCACCGGCAGCUGCAGGCGCACCAGCCGCCGGUGGGGGGUGCUGGCGCAGAGGUCCUUCAGCACAGCUGCAGUCCGGCCCGCCUCCUGUGCUGCGGUGUACGCGCGGCCCCACAGCAGGACCUCGUGCUGGCUGGCCUGCGCCACCAGCAGGCUUGCCGGCUGGAGGGCGAGCAUGAUGAACCACCCGGGCUCCCCUGGCGCCAUGUCGUAGUGGGGCACCUGCUCGGCAACCGGACGAGUGCCGGGCAGGUUCGCCAGCAGCACGGCGUCCUCCAGGUGCAGCCCCAGCUCACCCUUCGGGUCUGCCGCUGUCACGACCUCCUCCAGCAACGGUCGCAGUUUGUCGCAGAGCGCCAGGAGCCCAGCGCUGCCCGCGAGGUCCUUCCACAGCACCUGAACCCGCUGGCCCGUCCCCACGCUCAUCCGGAUCUCCGCCUGCACGCCCUGCAGUGCUGAGAUGCGCUGGAAGAUCUGCUCUCCGUGUUUGUCCGCCAGCGACGCCAGCUCCGCGAUCAGGCGAGGGUUGAUCAGCCUUGUAAGCGUUGCCGGCAGACGCACGGCGGCAAGGCCCAGGCCGCACAGCAGCGCAGGUGGCACCUCCUUGACCUCGCAACGGUAAAUCUCGGUGGUGGCCUCGUCACGGGCAGCAGGCGGCGCCGCAUCCUCGGACCUUUCUGGGCUGGGCGGCUGCUCCAGGCUGGGCGGCCGCCUCUUCUUCUUGGCAGGGCGCGCGCCAAUCGGCUCCUGGCCCUACAACACAAGGGCAUGAGCGAUACACGAUAAGCUGAAGUGGGCGUAAAAAGCCAAGAGCCGCCCCGCCCCGCCCCGCCCUGCCCCGCCCCGCCCCGCCCUGCCCCGCCCCGCCCCGCCCUGCCCCGCCCUGCCCCGCCCGCCCCGCCCUGCUCCGCCCCGCCCUGCCCCGCCCUGCCCCGCCCCACCCCGGGCUGCCCCGCCCCGCCCGCCGUUCUAGCUGUCAGGGGAUGCAUGCCCUCUCACCGGUCCAGUUACAUUGUGUUGACCACGCGGUGCAGCCAACCGCGCACUGCUCCUCUGCGCUGCCCUGGCCGGUGGUGCCUGUAUGCAUGAGAGCGGAUCGUGCAGUUAGUGCAUGCAUGCUACCGGAUCCUCGCCCCGUGCACCCACACAUCAUAUGACCACUCACCGGCAGCGAACCACUGGCUGCGCCGCUGCUGGCCCCUGCGUGCCCACUCGAGCUGCCAUCUAUGCCGCUGACUGCUACCGUGCGCCCACAUGUGUCACCACUUGCGCCACUGUUGCUGACCUCCCCAGCCAUACGCUGCUGGGUCAAAGAAGCAGGUACGCGACGUGCAGGCGGCUCGCUGGUGCGGGUACUGGCGGCGCCGAGCUGCUUUGUGUCCUGUGUCGUGUCGGUGCCGGCAUCACUGCCCGCCUCAGUGAGCUCUGUAGCCGGCACGUACUCCGCGGGCCCAGCCGAGCCGCCAGGCUGUUGGUCUUUGGGUGACCACCCCUGUACCACCGGCGCCUGCGCCUGCGCCUCUGCCAGCUGCUGCGCCUGCGCCUGCGCCUCUGCCAGCUGCUGCACCUGCGCCUGCACCUCUGCCAGCUGCUGCGCCUGCGCCCGCGCCUCUGCCAGCUGCUGCACCUGCGCCUGCGCCUCUGCCAGCUGCUGUGCCUGUGCCCGCUCCUCUGCCAGCUGCUGCGCCACGGCCUUGUUGGUCAGCUCCUGCAUGGUUAAGUGUGUGAGUGGCCAUCAUAAUCUAUCGGAGGACGUGGGUCAGGAGCAGUACAACAUGGCCGUAGUUGGGCAGCACCUGUAAUUACCGGGAAGCCUUUCGCACCUGUGCGGCAUCCUCAAAAGCGCGGACCGCGUAGUUGUACGUGGGGUUGUUUGCUGCGAGGGUGCCCGGUGUGGGAGCGCCCUCCAGUGCGGCAAUCUCCAGCAGCAUUCUUGCCUUGCCGCUCAGGUCUGCCUGCAGCCACCCCUCUUGCCCCGCCAUGAUUUCCUGCACCAGCAGGGCGCCGCCCUCCCGCACGUAGUCGCAUGCCCGCUCGGGCUUUGACUUGGACCCCGUGAGCUCCAUCAAGGUCACUGGCACGGGGGGGUUCUGCGUAAACAGCAGUACAUUUAAGGGGGUGCCUAAGUGUCUGCAGCUGGACUGGUCACAGUGUCCUCUGCUGCCCACCUCGGGCGCCGGCGCCCCCCGCGGCCUGCUGGGGACAAACGUCGUGCCGAAGAGCAGGAACGGCUUUGCUGUUGCGGGCAGGGUGCCGAUGUACUCCACGCCAUCCUUGUAGACCACCAGCUGGCUGCCGGGCUCACACUUCCCCAGCGAAACUGCCGCGAGGAAGAAUUGCCGCUUGAAAGUGGACUUCCAAUGCCGCGCACGCUCCACUGCCCGACCAAGCUCAUGUAGCAUUUGAGUGGGGUUACCAAGGCAACCGAACUUGGAGAAGACAGUCAUUCUAGUGAGGUCUGCCAGCUAAGUUCGAAAUCAAUCCCUCCUCGCACAGUCUGCGGCUGGUGUUGGAUGCAUUGUUGAUGACAAACGAAUACAGUUUGGCUCUAUAAAGUGGUACAGACAAUAAGAAUUGAGGAAUACGGCUUGUGUGCGAAACGAAAAAAACCCAUCGACCCCGGUGGGUUUUCCGUUCGUCGCGUACACCUCGAAUUCUUUAUCCCCUGAUGCUCACACCUCCCCUAAUGCCGAGUAGCUAUUGAUAGUAGACAUUAAAGAGGCAAUCCACUCGCAGGCGUGUCCAUCACCACCAUGUCCCAAACACACUGCUGAAAACCCGGCGGCGCCUGGACCAGCCACAGCUGGGCUUGGCUGAUGGGAGCCGGACCGGGGUUGUGUGCGUUAAUCUGCGCCACAACGGCCUUCGCCACCGCGCAAUCCCAGAAGUGGUGCUGCCGUGGCGUGGGCGCGGCGGCGGCGUGUGCCUCCGCCGCGGCGCCCCCAUGGCCGUGCUGCCCACAGCCGCAUGGCUCACGGCGAGCCAACGGCGUAUGCGAGUUUCCCGGCAGCGGCACUGCGUCAAUGGCCAACCGCCACAGCGUCUCAAAGUGUCACCAUUCCCAGCGUACCUUCUGCCAAAGGCGUGUGUGUGUGUGUGUGUGUGUGUGUGUGUGUGUGUGUGUGUGUGUGUGUGUGUGUGUGUGUGUGUGUGUGUGUGUGUGUGUGUGUGUGUGUGUGUGUGGGCGCAUGUGUGUGUGGGCGCAUGUGUGUGUGUGUGUGUGUGUGUGUGUGUGUGUUAAAGAGCACAAGGAAAACAUUACGCGUAGGACAGUAUGUGUGUGUGUGUAUGUGGGCUUGUGUAUGCGUGUGCUCGUGUGUGGGCUUGUGUAUGCGUGUGCUCGUGUGUACACGAGGUGCGUGUGUAUUGACGCGCACGCGUAUGUGCGUACAUGAGCAUGAGCUUGUGCAUUUGUGGGUGUGUGUGCACGCUUGUGCGGGCGCGUGGGCGUGUGCGUGCGCGUGGGUGUGCACCUGUGUGCGUGCGUGCAUGCGUGCUUGCGUGCAUGCGUGCGCGUUUGCGUGUACAGGGGCAGGGGCAAGUGCAAGGGUGUGAGCAAGGGCAAUGCUGUGGGCGUGGGCGGGGUGCUUGUUGUUUGUCACUUGGCCCAACACAGCGCAAUGCCCAACUGCGUGUGUCUCCACGCGGGCAGCCCAACGGGGUGUGUUCUGUGUGCGUAUGCUGUGGGGAAGAGUGUUGCCGGGCAUGGCCUACUCGUGAGGCCCCAUCUGAGCGGCAGGCACAUGCAUCCCAUGCCCGCAUCGGACAUAACCAGCGCCCAAUGCUUGACUCAACGCUGCACAAUGCCCUACUGUGCGUGUCUCCACGCGGGCAGCCCAACAGGGUGUGUUCUGUGUGUGUGCGCUGUGGGAAACUGUGUUUCCGGGCAUGGCCUGCUUGUGUGGCCCCACCUGAGCGGCAGGCACAUGCAUCCCAUGCCCGCAUCGGACAUAACCAGCGCCCAAUGCUUGACUCAACACAGCGCAAUGCCCAACUGUGGGUGUCUUCAAGCUGGCAGCCCAGCGGGGCGUGUCCUGUAUGCGUAUGCUGUGGGGAAGUGUGUUUCUGGGCGUGGCCUGCUUGUGUGGCCCCAUCUGCGCGGCAGGCACAUACAUCCCAUCCAUGCCCGCAUCCGACGCAACCAGCGCCCAUCGCUUGGCCUAACACAGUGCAAUGCCCAACUGCGUGUGUCUCCACGCGGGCAGCCCAACGGGGUGUGUUCUGUGUGCGUGCGCUGUGGGGAAGUGUGUUUCUGGGCGUGGCCUGCUUGUGUGGCCCCACCUGAGCGGCAGGCACAUGCAUCCCAUCCAUGCCCGCAUCGGACAUAACUAGUGCCCAAUGCUUGGCUCAACACUUCGCAAUGCCCAACUGUGCAUGUCUCCACGCGGGCAGCCCAACAGGGUGUGUUCUGUGUGUGUGCGCUGUGGGAAACUGUGUUUCCGGGCGUGGCCUGCUUGUGUGGCCCCACCUGAGCGGCAGGCACAUGCAUCCCAUGCCCGCAUCGGACAUAACCAGCGCCCAAUGCUUGACUCAACACAGCGCAAUGCCCAACUGUGCAUGUCUCCACGCGGGCAGCCCAACAGGGUGUGUUCUGUGUGUGUGCGCUGUGGGAAACUGUGUUUCCGGGCGUGGCCUGCUUGUGUGGCCCCACCUGAGCGGCAGGCACAUGCAUCCAAUGCCCGCAUCGGACAUAACCAGCGCCCAAUGCUUGACUCAACACAGCGCAAUGCCCAACUGCGUGUGUCUCCACGCGGGCAGCCCAACAGGGUGUGUUCUGUGUGUGUGUGCGCUGUGGGAAACUGUGUUUCCGGGCGUGGCCUGCUUGUGUGGCCCCACCUGAGCGGCAGGCACAUGCAUCCCAUGCCCGCAUCGGACAUAACCAGCGCCCAAUGCUUGAAUCAACGCUUCGCAAUGCCCAACUGUGUGUGUCUCCACGCGGGCAGCCCAACAGGGUGUGUUCUGUGUGUGUGCGCUGUGGGAAACUGUGUUUCCGGGCGUGGCCUGCUUGUGUGGCCCCACCUGAGCGGCAGGCACAUGCAUCCCAUCCAUGCCCGCAUCCGACGCAACCAGCGCCCAUCGCUUGGCCUAACACAGCACGAUGGCCAACUGUGCGUGUCUUCAAGCUGGCAGCCCAGCGGGGCGUGUCCUGUGUGCGUAUGCUGUGGGGAAGUGUGUUUCUGGGCGUGGCCUGCUUGUGUGGCCCCAUCUGCGCGGCAGGCACAUGCAUCCCAUGCCCGCAUCCGACGCAGCCGCAUACAUUGGAUUAAGCGUCCUAGCAAUGGCAUUACCAGAAGGGAGGCGAGCUGGCAUGCGCAAUGGGGCAGCGCUGCUGCAUGGGGAGACCCGACAUUCAGCUUCUCAACUUAAUAGUAUGACUCUGUUAUAAGACUCAUACUAUGCACUACAGAUUUAAUACUAACAAGUUGUUAAAUGUAUCGCUAGCCUGUUACAGCCUAUCUCUGUUGCAAUCAAGCGAUAUCGGCAUGCAGUGUUCCACGUUCUCAAACCCUCUAUGAUACUGCACGAUGCUAUUUCAUAGCAAAUAUGUUAGACACAAGCUUGCGAGCAUGCCUGAGGGGUUGGCGGAGGUGCUACAAACUUGGUCAAAGUGGAGGAUUUGUCGCUGACCUUCGCCGACCUGCACGAAAUUCAAGGCCAAACAGGCUCAAGGCCCAAGAAUGUAAGUUUUUGACUGAGAACUCGCAUUGUAUCAGCUCAAAACGUCUACAGCAGUGUUUUCCUGUCGCGGUCAACAACCAUUCGUCUGCCCUGCCUGCGCUUUCGCACGGGGUCCUAAUGUGUGUGUGUGUGUUACAGGAUUGGAAGUGUGCAUUCCUAAUACCUGCAACGAGACUAACCGAGCCGCAAGGGCCCCUCGUCUCCUGGAACUGGAUUGUUAGUUGCAUCUUGCACACCAUGUGCACCGUCGUGGUGCUGCCUAAUCAAAAGACAGCGCUUAGACCAAAUAUCCUAAUAGGUCCUAAUAGUUUGCAAUUGCUUAUGCAUGCAAAUAUCUGCUUGCAAUUCCCCGGCCGCCCUAUUCUCAUGUCAACCUUCGUCAUGUCAACCUUCGGCAUCGGUGCAUGUGCUGCUGGCAAUGGCGCUUUUGCGUUUUGGUGGUAAGUCAGAUUUCGUGAUGCAAUCCACAUGAAAAGGAGCACCAAGACAUGUGUGCAGUGGGCAGCUCAACGGACAGGGCAUGUAUACAGCAUGUGAGAUACAGCAUGUAUCUCGGGGAAAGGCUUGUCACCAUGCCUCUUGCAACGCCGGUGGUGCUGUGUAUGCAGGUGAUAUGUGCGCAAACAUGGAGGCGCAUGUGUAGGGCCGAGGAGCGCGACGAGGUAGCCAAAGGGACCCAGGAGCAAGCAAAAAGGGUAUGUGUACAGGGUUGAACAAGGGCAGGGGAGCCGCUGCUACAUGACAAGGGCAUGACAGGACAUGCAACGGUGUCUGUAGACACCACAAAAGCGCAGCAGGCGGGGCACUGGGCAGCAGCGGGUGGUGGCGGCGUCCGAAAUGGUGUUGGGCGUGUCCAAAUUGACGCCUGGGCAUGUCCGAAAUGGGGCUGGGUGCGUCCGAAUCAACAGCUGGGAGUGUCCGAAAUGGGGCUGGGCGCGUCCGAAUUGCCAUUGCGUCCGAAUCUUGGCAUCCGACAAAAGUGUCCGAAAUACUUGUAAUUCGGAUGCUAUUCGGACCAGAUUCGGACCGACUUCGGACCAGCUUCGGAGACAAAAACUUCGGACAGGGGUGGGGUCUUUCGGACAGGAACUCGGACCAGCUUCGGAUGGUCUUUCGGACCAGGCUUCGGAUCAGGUUUCGGACAGAUCUUCGGACCAACUUCGGACCAGAUUCGGAUGAGCGGCUUUCCCCGAGUGAUCUUUGCAGCUUUACUUUUUGGGCUGAGCCCCCCGAGCGAAGCGAUCCAGGGGGGGGCGAAGCCCCCCAGGAUUGCCCCUGUCCGUGCCUGCCUGCCUGCCUGCCUGCCUGCCUGCCUGCGUGCCUGCCUGCGUCGACAAAAAGUGCCAAACUGGCACAAACCGCGAGCGCCACGUAUUAUAAAUUGCUAUUCCCUAUUGUAUAAAAAUAGGCGGCAGGGCAAAUUCGGCCGGAGCGAGAAGCGACCUCGCGAGUCCAUGGACAUCUUGACUUUCGUCUUGCGAGCGAGAGUGCAGGCUUGAUAGUUUCUUCCGCACAAAACUAUACCGACCGCAUCCAAGCUUGGGAGACACAAGAAUGCUUAAACAUAACAUGCCUCAAGGCCAUUUCGGUGCAGGUUCCGCGCGAAGACGACUCCGUUCUGCCUUUGCUCAUGUAGUAUCCGCCAGUAACAACGACGAGGAUGGAAUGAACUGCCGCUUCGGCCGUUCACUGAGUCGUAAUGGCAACAGCUUCCUCGCCGAGCUGUCGUGGCGGUGGCUGCGGCUGCCAGCUGAAAUGGCGGUAUUGAACAACGACAACCGUGACGUGGCGAUAGGCAGACCCUUCCCGUCCGCGGUGCGCGACACGCGAGCGGCAUGGAGUCGCGGCUGCGCGGUAAGGGCCGGGGUCUGGUGUCUGGAGCGUGAAGUGUGGCGGGGAUGGUUGGGGAUGGGCGGGGAAUGGGCGGGGAAUGGGCGGGGAAUCCUGUGUGCAUGGAGGGGGAGGCGGGAAACCCCGAGGGCGGGAGCGAGGAAGCCCAAAGCAAGGCGCCCAGCAGUGCUGAACGUGAACGACUUGCCAAGCUGUGAACUAAAUGUGUCCCACAACUUAAAUAAUGCCUGACAGCCCUGCACGGCGCGGCAGUCGCGGCGGCCGCGGCCGCCGCGGCCGUGGCCGCGGCGCGGGGCAAGGUCUAUCAGCCCUUGUGCACGAUGACCCUUCACUCGAUCAAUACUGGCCCGUUGCUGAACAACAACACACCGCUGCUGUGCCGAGAGCGGUGGCAGCACGCGCACAAGGUGAGCAUAAGCGAGAAGGGCGCGUGAGGCCAGGACACCCGAGAACCUACUGUCCUCCUGUCGCCGCCCGCAGGCGCGGCCGCGGGGCCGUCACCGCCACCCCCAGCCUUCAAGGGGCGUCAGGGCGUCACCGACACCGACAACGCCGCUGGGAGCAGCGGACAGCAGCAUGGGCUCGCGCCGGAGCACCUGGAGGAUGGUUUGGUGGUGUCGGGCACCGCCGGCGCUGCGGCAACUGCUGCCAGACCUCGGGCUGCAACAGCUGCUGGUGUCUGCCCUGGACGUGACGCUCUGCUACACCGGCGGCGGUGCAUUGGGACGCAAGGUGCGAUGCUGAAGCACGUGCAGGGCGUUAACCAGCAAGCUUACCCAAACCGUUGCUGGCACAACAGGAAUGAUGGCACCGCCUGCCGGCCCUGCCAACCCUGACCCACAUCCGCUAGGUGGCCGCAACAUCCCACAAGGUGAAGUCAGGAGCCAACGUUGGGGCCCAUGAGUUGUGUGACCAUCUGUGCGGUACAGCACAUUGCAGUUUGCAAGGAUUAUUGGGCCCUUGAUUGGGCCGUGGCUGCGGCGUUGUAGCGCUCUCCUGACGUGGCCUGUCGCCUCCCUCUCCCCUUCCAGGUGGCGGAUUCCAGGUGGCUCCUGACCCACAUCAGCUGGUGGGCGCUGGCUUCCUUGCCUUCGCGUUUGCGGGCGUCGCGGGAGCUGCCAUUCUGGCUGCCGGUGGCGCUGUAGCUGCACCGACUGCAGCUGGCGGCCCGAUCGAAGGUCAGUGUGAGUGGCGUCGAGGGGAUGUGUGCGCAUGUGCAAAACAGUUUGUUGCAGGCGGUGACCAUUCAGAGAGCUUCCUCCCUGCCUACAGUGCCGCUGGCGCCAGCUGCCAUCACUGCAACACCCCCGGAUGCAGCUGACGCUGGUUUUGUGCUCCCGCCGCAACCGCCGGAGCCCCCAGUACAGCGUGGACGUGGACGUGGCAGGGGCAGGGGCAGGCCGCGUGGGCGCGGCCGCGGGCGCGCGCGUGGGUACGGCAGGGCCAGCGCUCCCCAGCCGGCGGAUGCAGACGCGGAGGCCGUGGAGCAGCCGCACAAGCGCCGCCGCAGCUUUGGCACGGAUGAGCAACAGCGGCAAGCCGCACGGCGGCGCCAGCGGCGGCAGGGCAUGGAACCUGAUCAGCGGCAGCAGCACCUCUCUGCGCACGCCGCGGCGGAGGCGGCGCGCGUGGCGGCAAUGACCGCUGAGCAGCGGCAGCAGCACCUAGCUGCACACGCCGCUGCGGAGGCAGCGCGCGUAGCGGCGAUGAUUACUGAGCAGCGGCAGCAGCACCUCGCUGCACACGCCGCCGCGGAGGCGGCACGGCGGGCGGGCAUGGACGAGGAGCAGCGGCAGCAGCACCUAGCUGCACACGCCGCUGCGGAGGCGGCGCGCGUGGCGGCAAUGACCGCUGAGCAGCGGCAGCAGCACCUCGCUGCACACGCCGCUGCGGAGGCGGCGCGCGUAGCGGCGAUGACUGCUGAGCAGCGGCAGCAGCACCUCGCUGCACACGCCGCGGCGGAGGCGGCGCGCGUGGCGGCAAUGACCGCUGAGCAGCGGCACCAGCACCUAGCUGCACACGCCGCUGCGGAGGCGGCGCGCGUGGCGGCAAUGACCGCUGAGCAGCGGCAGCAGCACCUCGCUGCACACGCCGCGGCGGAGGCGGCGCGCGUGGCGGCAAUGACCGCUGAGCAGCGGCAGCAGCACCUCGCUGCACACGCCGCUGCGGAGGCGGCGCGCGUGGCGGCGAUGGCUGCUGAGCAGCGGCAGCAGCACCUCGCUGCACACGCCGCUGCGGAGGCGGCGCGCGUGGCGGUGAUGGCUGCUGAGCAGCGGCAGCAGCACCUCGCUGCACACGCCGCCGCGGAGGCGGCACGGCGGGCGGGCAUGGACGAGGAGCAGCGUGCAGCGGAAACGGGCGCGCGGCAGCAACGACGGGCAAGACAACGCUUCACAGCCAGCACUGAGCGUGGCCCAGCAAUCCGGCGUAAGUUCGAGGAGGUGUGCAACCACGUCUGCGAAUGCUGUCGGCGCUGCUUCUACAGGGCCGGUGUCACGGUCACGGAGCACGAGGUGGGCGUGUGAAUGGGUCCGGGUUCGGCUCGGCUUGCAUUGGAUCGCAGUGGCUUGCACUGAAAGCGCAUCACAAGAGUCUCAUUCAGCACUGAAAGCAGGCGCUGUUACCCAUCAUCGCAGGUUGCAUGCUCCACUCUCGCCCGGAUCCUGCGCGGCGGCGCCGCGGCCGGCACCGACCGCGACCGUGACGAGCUUGACGAGCUGGAGCGUGGCGUCGGCGCCUAUGCGGCAGACGGCGAUGCAGGCGGCGCCGCGGACGUGGCCGCAGCCGCGACCGAGGAUGGCGGCGGCGUGGGGCUGGAGGCGGGACUGGAGGCGGAGGAGGCUCAGCAGGCAGCGGAGCCAGUGCAGCAGCGGCCACGCCGGGCUGCAGCUGCUGCUGCCACCGAUGCUAUCCUUGGUGGCGCCCGUGGCCGUCGCGCCGCCCGCGGUCGUAGCCGGCGCCGUGGUCUACUCGGCCAGGCGGUAGCGGCGGACGGCGUGCCGGCGGCAGCAGAUGACGGCGGGCAGCCCACCAGCCGCAUGCUGUGCUGCACCUGCCUCGAGAAAAUAAUAAUAAUAAUACCUACGCACGGACCAAGGUCCCGCGUGCCUUAAGGAAGAGUCCCAUCGAGGCUAACCCUACCGUAUCUCUGUGGGACCUUGGCAACAGGCACCCCACGCAUCCACCUUCACUCAGUCCAUAGGAACCGAAGUUCUGGACCUAUCGGCCUACCAACUCUCCGAAUUCGGCCAUCGUGAAGUUUCCACGUUGCAACAAUGGGAUCCGAACCCAGAGAGUCGCUACAACGCUUCCGUCAGUACCACGGACUCCAUACCGGAAUACUGACUCGGUUCCCCGGGCAGGAUCCGAACCUGCAUCUAUACUUGUCAGCCUCAACCCGGCCGAAUCCGUGAUUCGAACCUGGGUCUGCCAUGUGACAGCGGCAUGCUCUACCAAUUGAGCUACCGGGGAACCU
rnacentral:lncRNA from 1 species